rnacentral:rRNA from 1 species
AAAGGAAGUUGACGGGGGCCCGCACAAGCGGUGGAGUAUGUGGUUUAAUUCGAUGCAACGCGAAGAACCUUACCUAGGUUUGACAUCCGGAAACCUUCCCGAAAAGGAAGGGUGCCCUUCGGGGAAUUCCGAGACAGGUGCUGCAUGGCUGUCGUCGGCUCGUGCCGUGAGGUGUUGGGUUAAGUCCCGCAACGAGCGCAACCCCUAUUGCCAGUUGCUACCAGGUAAUGCUGGGCACUCUGGUGAGACUGCCCCGGUUAACGGGGAGGAAGGUGGGGACGACGUCAAGUCAUCAUGGCCCUUACGCCUAGGGCUACACACGUACUACAAUGGCGCAUACAAAGGGCAGCGAUACCGCGAGGUGGAGCCAAUCCCAAAAAGUGCGUCCCAGUCUGGAUUGCAGUCUGCAACUCGACUGCAUGAAGUUGGAAUCGCUAGUAAUUCGAGAUCAGCAUGCUCGGGUGAAUGCGUUCCCGGGCCUU